UUCAAAUUCAUGCUAGUGUUCCGUGACUACCAACCCUAGCUUUAACUUGUGAUGUUCUUGAUAGCAUGACUGAUCCUGCCUGUUAUUUAUCAAAGAGCUGUCAUUAACUAUAGACUGUGGUUAGAUUUGAAUGGAUAACUGUCACACUUUUGUUUUCUGCUUAGAUUUCUGAGUGCCCACAGUGUCAGAAGAAAAGAGGAUUGCUAAAAGAAAAGAAAGAGUACAUUCUCAUAGAGAGCCUCUUGAGCUGGUGGUGAUGGACCUGGUGGGUAAACUUACUCUAACAGAAGGUGGUAGUCAGUACAUAUGUGUCAUGGUUGAUUAUUUCACCAAAUGUGCAGAGGCCUACCCACUCAAGAGUAAGACAGCAGAUGAGGUCACAAAUCAUAUUAUCCAGUUCUUUUACAAAUUUGGUGUUUGGUGUGUUACUUCUGUCAUGCUGACUUUCCUAUCUCACCAACUAUAACUUCAAGCUCCACUUCAGACUGUGUGACUGGCUGGGGAUUUAGAGGAGCCUCUGUGCUCCUCAUCAUGGCCUUGUGGAGAGACUAAAUGGAACAAUACAGAGGUAGGUUUUCAUUUACAUGUAAAAUAAUAAUCAGUCACAGCACCCCUCCAUGGGUUGUCACAUUAACGUGGUGACGAACGUAUCACCUGAUGAUAAGUAACAACAGGAACAAGUGUACCCUGUCCGGAGGGCCACCAGAGCCCCAUCCUGGAGCCAGGCCCAGCCCAAAUGGGUGACAUGGGUCCAUUCUCCCGUGGGCUCACCACCCGCAGGGGGAGUCACAGGGGUCCUGUGCAGUAGGGAUUGGUCAGCAGCCAGAGGCGGGGGGGCUUGGCGGUCCGAUCCCUGGUUACUGAAACUGGCUUUUGGGACAUGGAACAUCACCUCUUUGGUGGGGAAGGAACCUGAGUUGGUGCAGGAGGUUGAGAGAUACUGGCUAGAUACAGGCUAGUCAGGCUCACCUCUACGCACGGCUUGGGUUCUGGAACCAACCAUCUCGAGAGGGGUUGGACUCUCUUCUUUGCUGGAGUUGCGCCAGGUGAGAGGGAGGGCAGGUGUGGACUUCCACAUAGCUCCUCAACUCUCUGCUUGUGUGUUGGAGUUUUGCCUGGUGGAUGCUUUUAUGUUCAGUUGAACCUUAGCCAGCAUGAGGUGGCCUGAGGUGGUUUGCUGUGUGCCAUAAUAGACACUGGACGCUGGUUGUAAGUAAUGGUAUUUGGUAACAGAUUUUAAUACAACAAGGAGCUGGUGUGGUCUUAAAAUGUAUCUUUACACUAGAUCAUGUACAUAAAAGAGGGACGUUGUCUAUUCAUGGAUCCAUUUGGGGCAACAAUGGACAAACUCCUUCACUGCAGGGAUGUCACAAGGUAAUUGAGAAGAAACUAUUAGGUGUGCUUUACAUAGACUCAUGUUCCUGCCCUCUGGAUGACACUGAGGGAGACCAUCAUAGAGGAUGAUUUUUCUUGCUUAAAACCACUGUUUUGUUAAAUACUACUCUCCUUGUAAGCUCUUUUAAAUCUAAGGCCAAAUGAAUGAAGAUGAAACUGCAGUAAUCUGUCUUUUUUGUAUGUGCAAGAGCACUACUACGAAGACACAAUGUUGCUAUCGGGAAGUGGACCUGCUCCACUAUUCCUCACCCUAAACAGCAGGACACAACAUCAUGUGGCGUCUUUGUGUAUGAGGGACAGAGAAAAUAACAGCGGAGCUGAUAAAUCUCCGCACAACUAAUGAAGGUCUCUUCACUGAGAAGAGACACAUGACCAAGAAGGCCUGGACUGAAAUCAUCCGGCUUCUUGGCCUGGAGGGAAGGCUGUCUACCAGUCAGGUGUUGGGACAACCUGAAGAGGAAAUAUAAGGAGCUGAGGAAUCCGUCCACAGGUACUGGGACCGAUAGGGGGGAGGCCAUGGCUGCAACUUGGCCAUGGUUUUCCCUCAUGCAUGAGACUAUUGGGGCGCGGCCCAGCUCUGAGCCGCCCGUCCUGAUAGACUCAUGUGGGGGAAAGCCAUGAGUCUGAUGCUGCCGUGGCCUCCCCAGCUGGCUCAUCAUCUGCUGCUGGGUCUGUAGCUUGUCGCCGGUCUCGUGAAGAGGAGAAAGGGGAACAGUCCAGCACAGGCUGUGGAUCCAGCACACAGGCAGAUGAUGGGCCAUCAACCUCCUCCUGCCUUCCUCCUCGAAAGAAAAGGGCAACAGGUGGGAUCUACUAAAGUUUUUAAAAGAGGAGAGCCAACGGGAAGAGGAACGUUUCCAAGCCACACAAGAUAAUUCAAAGACAAUUAUCACACUUUUGCAGGAUUUAGUUAAAAAAUAACAUUAAGUAAAUUUUAUUUGUCUAUUUAUUUCAUUAUCAUAUUUUAGUGAUUUAAUCCUUUUUUACAAUAAA